rnacentral:rRNA from 1 species
AUUGAACGCUGGCGGCAGGCCUAACACAUGCAAGUCGAGCGGAUGAAGGGAGCUUGCUCCUGGAUUCAGCGGCGGACGGGUGAGUAAUGCCUAGGAAUCUGCCUGGUAGUGGGGGAUAACGUCCGGAAACGGGCGCUAAUACCGCAUACGUCCUGAGGGAGAAAGUGGGGGAUCUUCGGACCUCACGCUAUCAGAUGAGCCUAGGUCGGAUUAGCUAGUUGGCGGGGUAAAGGCCUACCAAGGCGACGAUCCGUAACUGGUCUGAGAGGAUGAUCAGUCACACUGGAACUGAGACACGGUCCAGACUCCUACGGGAGGCAGCAGUGGGGAAUAUUGGACAAUGGGCGAAAGCCUGAUCCAGCCAUGCCGCGUGUGUGAAGAAGGUCUUCGGAUUGUAAAGUACUUUAAGUUGGGAGGAAGGGCAGUAAGUUAAUACCUUGCUGUUUUGACGUUACCAACAGAAUAAGCACCGGCUAACUUCGUG